UCAAGAAACUUCCACAAUGGGCGAAAGCCUGAUGGAGCGACGUCGCGUGAUGGACGAAGUGCUUCGGCACGUAAACAUCUUUUAUGUGGGAUGAAAUUAUUGACAGUACCACAUGAAUAAGGGGCUCCUAACUCUGUGCCAGCAGGAGCGGUAAUACAGAGGCCCCAAGCGUUAUCCGGAAUCACUGGGCGUAAAGGGUGUCGAGGCGGUUGUAUUAGUCGUUCGUAAAAUCUACGAGCUUAACUUGUAGGCGGCGAACGAAACGGUACGACUUGAGGUUUGGAGAGGUGCGUGGAACUCACGGUGUAGGGGUGAAAUCCGUUGAUAUCGUGGGGAACACCAAAGGCGAAGGCAGCGCACUGGCCAAAAUCUGACGCUCACACACGAAAAGCUAGGGUAGCGAAGAGGAUUAGAUACCCAAGUAGUCCCUGAGCGGGC
rnacentral:rRNA from 1 species